CUCGGCGGGGGGAACCGUUCCCGGCCCGGAGCAGAGGCGAAGUCGCUGCGGAAACUCCUCUGCGGCGGUUUUCCAUCGCCUGAAGUGGCGGCACUUGAGAGGCGUCACAGGUGGAGCCCCCAUCCUCGAUCGAAACUGCUAACCGACUCCAUCAAAAAUAACUGUCUUUCGGAUGAGGAUUUAUCCUCCCUGCACUGGGAUUCAGAUGCCCGGCCCCGAAGGAUGGGUUCGCUCACGCACCUUAUUUCACAGGACCGAGCGGUGCUGUUUCUUUACGCACCGCCUUGCCAGGUGGACAGCCGGUGCUUUUCCAGUAUUUGGAACGCUUUCUGGGGGAAACAGCGACGUUCGUGUAAAGGGUAAGUGUAUUGCCAUGCAGAUAAAAGGAAAUUCAAAACCAUCCUGUUAACACAACCUCUGGGGAGUGCCCAGUCUACUUCCAGCUAAAGCAGAAUCCAGCGGUUUGGGCACUGAUUUAAAACCUCCCAUGGAGCAGUACAAUAGGAAACAUAUCUUCAGUCACCCACAGAAAUUCAUGUUCAUCCUUCAGAACUGCAGAUGGUUACAGCAUGGAGCAUCCCCCGACCCACCUGGAGUUUGGUCACUUCCCAGCGAUGCUUGGGCCGUCUCUCCAGAGAAACCCCGAGGAACCUGGACACUUCGCAGCCCUGCCCGAAACCAUCUCAGCUGGUUCUUGCGGGCCAAGGGGGGCUUCAUGCCUGACAGGGAUAUGCUCUUCUCUCCAACACCAGUCCUGAGACCGUGACUGCAGAUGAAGGAAAAAGAGGAGACACACCGGGCUGCGCAGUGCCAACAGGACCCAGUUUCUACAGACAUAACCAAGAAAAAAAAAUACUGGAAAACCUAAAACCAUUCUGCCUGCUGUGUUCUGCCAGCUCUUUCUAGGAAAAUGGAAUAAACGAAGUUACAUAUGAAAAACUGAUUUCCUCAGACAGCCACAGUAAAACAGAAGAAGAGAAGAAGUGGAGAAGAGGACUGGAUAUAGAUACAGGCAAGUUUAUAACAUUGGAUGAUUCCAACCUCCUCCCUCUCUCUCCCCCUCUCCUUUUAAAAAACAAAACGUGAUACCCUGUCAGUUUGCUCCACGUUUCCGUGAGGCAGCUCAAAAGUAACAAACUGUUCCCUGAGUACAGGAAAAAACAACAACAAAAAAACCCCAAAAAACUAGAGUAACUUUUAAAGGAGGUAGUAUAAAACAGGAAUUGCAUGGGUUCAAGGCAGUAGCAGUACUCACCUCUUUCAACAGACUCUUCAACUAAAGCUCUGGCUUUUUUAUUUCUCAUGGUAGCCUAAUCAGAGUUUUAGAUUGGCAUGUGGGUAAAGUCACUCCCUGAGCUAAAAUUCCUGGCUAACGGCACGCUAGGUGAAGGCAUGGAGCAGGGCUGCAUCCUAACAACAGCUCUGAGACACACUAGGAUGCUGGCAGUGCUUAUCAGCACUCAAACCUGGGUAAAAAUGAAUGAUAAACUCCUGAUACUGAUUACUUAAAACAUCUAAGAAGCAUUUAAGGCAUCUUUCUGUACUCCAGAGCAACUUCAUGAAUACUAAAAAGGCAUAAGGCAAAUCAGUAAUUUCAUACUAUAUAAUGCAAGGCACCAUUGCUAAGAAGUAGUGUGAUACUGGAAUACUCAACAUGAUCUAUUCCGUGACUGAGCCAAACGGUUUGGAAAUGCUGCAUACUUCUUCAUUUUGCGAUGCUUUUUAGCAUUAACUGUCAAUAAAAGGGCACAUUUGUCACUGUGGGGAACCCAACAUGUCCCAGAGCCCGAAGGAUAUAGCAUACAUCCUGUCAGCAGUUGCUGGCACAAGUUUCUGGGGAAAAGGCACUGUCCUAGGCUUACCGGGGCCGUGAGAAAUUAAGAGGAACAAAAGCUUUCAUGUGGCUGUUGGCGGAUGCACCAACUCCAGUUUUCCCAGUUUUUAACAUCCUCUGUGUCAACCACAUGAAAUCAUUACAUUUUAUACUCUGAGGUUUCCUUCUUUUUAAAGACAGAGCUUCAGCUAAACAAUCUCAUUCACCUACCUAUACAACUCCCUGAUCACUGAGCGCACACGUGCGCACGCACACAUACACACACACA